CUGAGGUGCCCCCCACCCCAUGAUGCCAGCUGUACCUGGGGGUGGUCCUGGCCGCCGUCGUCAUCGUCACCGGCUGCUUCUCCUACUACCAAGAGGCCAAGAGCUCCAAGAUCAUGGACUCCUUCAAGAACAUGGUGCCACAGCAAGCGCUGGUGAUCCGGGAGGGAGAGAAGAUCCAGAUCAACGCCGAGAACGUGGUGGUGGGAGACCUGGUGGAGGUCAAGGGAGGGGACAGGGUGCCCGCUGACAUGAGGAUCAUCUCCUCCCACGGCUGCAAGGUGGACAACUCGUCCCUGACGGGGGAGUCGGAGCCUCA